ACAUGCAAGUCGAACGCACUCUCGUUUAGAUUGAAGGAGCUUGCUCCUGAUUGAUAAACAUUUGAGUGAGUGGCGGACGGGUGAGUAACACGUGGGUAACCUGCCCUAAAGUGGGGGAUAACAUUUGGAAACAGAUGCUAAUACCGCAUAAAACCUAACACCGCAUGGUGUAGGGUUGAAAGAUGGUUUCGGCUAUCACUUUAGGAUGGACCCGCGGUGCAUUAGUUAGUUGGUGAGGUAAAGGCUCACCAAGACCGUGAUGCAUAGCCGACCUGAGAGGGUAAUCGGCCACACUGGGACUGAGACACGGCCCAGACUCCUACGGGAGGCAGCAGUAGGGAAUCUUCCACAAUGGACGAAAGUCUGAUGGAGCAACGCCGCGUGAGUGAAGAAGGUUUUCGGAUCGUAAAACUCUGUUGUUGGAGAAGAAUGUAUCUGAUAGUAACUGAUCAGGUAGUGACGGUAUCCAACCAGAAAGCCACGGCUAACUACGUGCCAGCAGCCGCGGUAAUACGUAGGUGGCAAGCGUUGUCCGGAUUUAUUGGGCGUAAAGCGAGCGCAGGCGGUUUCUUAAGUCUGAUGUGAAAGC
rnacentral:rRNA from 1 species